rnacentral:tRNA from 1 species
GUACUGGUGGUUCAGUGGUAGUGGUUCUUGCCUUCCACGCAGGACACCUGGGUUCAAUUCCCAGCCAGGGCA